CUCGACUUUUUCUUCUCUCUCCCUCUUCUUCCCCCUUCCCCCUUCCUCCUCUCCUCCUUCUUCUUCUUCUUCUUCUUCAUCUCUUCUUUCUUUCUUUCCUCCAAUUUUUCUCUUCGAAUUAGCAAGUCUUUAAUUUUUUGCCUACCAACAAGAAGAGAAAAAUGAAAGAAAUAAGAUGAUGGUUCCUUAAUGGAACAAAUCUUGGGAACAAAGGCUUAAUCUCAGCAGAUCGUAACAACAAGGCUACUCUACUGCUUACAAUACCCCGUUCCACAUUAAAGUCGUAUGCAAUGGAUUCGAUUCCGCACAAG